ensembl:lncRNA
CCAGAGAGACCAGAGACACUGCUGCGACCAGACAGAGACACCACCGCCACCGUCUAGAGAGACCAGAGACCACCGCCAACGUCCAGAGAGAGACCAGACACUACUGCGACUGCCCAAAGACACCAGUGACUCUACCGCCACCAUCCAGAGAGAGACAAGAGACCACCGCCACCGUCCAGAGAAAAAAUAGAGACACCUCCGCUGCCGUCUAGAGAGAUCACCGCAACCUUCCAGAGACACCACCGCGACCGUCCAGAGACCAGUAACACCACCGCCACCGUCCAGAGAGACCAGAGACACCACCGCCACCGUCCAGAGAGAGACCAGUAACACCACCGCCACCACCCAGAGAGACCAGAGACCACCGCCACCGUCCAGAGAGAGACCAGAG